rnacentral:tRNA from 1 species
CGGGGUGUCGUUCAACAGCAGGACAUCCGCCUUUGACGCGGAGAAUCUUGGUGCGAUUCCAAGCGCCCCUGCCA